UACGAAGGGGGCUAGCGUUGCUCGGAAUCACUGGGCGUAAAGCGCACGUAGGCGGAUUGUUAAGUCAGGGGUGAAAUCCCGGAGCUCAACUUCGGAACUGCCUUUGAUACUGGCAAUCUAGAGUCCGGAAGAGGUUAGUGGAAUUCCCAGUGUAGAGGUGAAAUUCGUAGAUAUUGGGAAGAACACCAGUGGCGAAGGCGGCUAACUGGUCCGGUACUGACGCUGAGGUGCGAAAGCGUGGGGAGCAAACAGG
rnacentral:rRNA from 1 species